GGCACAGAGUCGGUAGUCGAGCCCAAGAGAUUGUUGCUGUGUGGCACGAGUGUCACCACUGCUGAACAUGAUGAGCAGAAAGUUAACGCUAAUCGUUCAAUUAAUUGGUUUUAGAUUUUGAAGACUCGAUUCGUCGAGAGGGCGAUUCGUGCUCGGCUGCUGGGAGACGCGCGCGCCCCCAACCCCGCGCCGCGCGUCCCGGCGCGCUGCGACGUCGCCAAGACAAAGCUCCCCCGGAUAGGCUUCAACAGACUUCUUGGCCAAGUGCUAGAAUCAAGUGUGGCGCCAUAAAGCGAGCGCCUCGCGCGGGGUCAUCCCGCGGUGACCCCCCUCCCACACCGAGGGGGCGGGGAGGGGCUGGUGAGGCUGGUGAGGGAGAUCGACCUCCAUGGAGGAGGUUCAUGAAGGACGCUGCUGCUACUGGGCAGUUGGAGGCAGUCGCCCUCCAACAACAGCGGAGGGCAGAGGAGCGACGCUCACAACAACGAGCGGAUAAAACUCAGCACGUUGGCGCAGUGGGGAGCACAGGUGGUGGUGCAUCUGUCAGUCAUCUCAGUCAGUCAACCAACCCAUGGCUCCUGGGUCUGUUCUGUGACCUGCCAGCGAGCC